rnacentral:rRNA from 1 species
UACGUAGGGUGCGAGCGUUGCCCGGAUUUAUUGGGCGUAAAGGGCGCGUAGGCGGCUCUGCACGUCCGUUGUGAAAUCCCCCCGGCUCAACCGGGGAACGGGCGCCGAAACGCCCCGUCUCGAGGGACGUAGGGGGGACCUGGAACUUCCGGUGGAGCGGUGAAAUGCGUUGAGAUCGGAAGGAACGCCCGUGGCGAAAGCGAGUCCUGGACGUCUACUGACGCUGAGACGCGAAAAGCUAGGGGAGCGAACGGG